rnacentral:rRNA from 1 species
UACGGGGGGGGCAAGCGUUGUUCGGAAUUACUGGGCGUAAAGGGCUCGUAGGUGGCCAACUAAGUCAGACGUGAAAUCCCUCGGCUUAACCGGGGAACUGCGUCUGAUACUGGAUGGCUUGAGAUUGGGAGAGGGAUGCGGAAUUCCAGGUGUAGCGGUGAAAUGCGUAGAUAUCAGGAGGAACACCGAUGGCGAAGGCAGCUCGCUGGGACGGUACUGACGCUGAGGCGCGAAAGCGUGGGGAGCGAACAGG